rnacentral:rRNA from 1 species
AUGAACGCUGGCGGCGUGCCUAAUACAUGCCAGUCGAGCGAACAGACGAGGAGCUUGCUCCUCUGACGUUAGCGGCGGACGGGUGAGUAACACGUGGAUAACCUACCUAUAAGACUGGGAUAACUUCGGGAAACCGGAGCUAAUACCGGAUAAUAUAUUGAACCGCAUGGUUCAAUAGUGAAAGACGGUUUUGCUGUCACUUAUAGAUGGAUCCGCGCCGCAUUAGCUAGUUGGUAAGGUAACGGCUUACCAAGGCAACGAUGCGUAGCCGACCUGAGAGGGUGAUCGGCCACACUGGAACUGAGACACGGUCCAGACUCCUACGGGAGGCAGCAGUAGGGAAUCUUCCGAAAUGGGCGAAAGCUUGACGGAGCAACGCAGCGUGAGUGAUGAAGGUCUUCGGAUCGUAAAACUCUGUUAUUAGGGAAGAACAAAUGUGUAAGUAACUAUGCACGUCUUGACGGUACCUAAUCAGAAAGCCACGGCUAACUACGUG